UGACUUUGGUUUUUAUUUUUAUUCUGUUUUUAAAAAUAUUUUUCCAGCUUUAUGGAGGUAUAAUUGACAAAUAAAAAUUGUAUUUACUCAGGCAUAGAGCCUGAUGAUUUGAUAAAUGCUGUGAAAUGAUUACCACAAUCACAUUAACACAAGCAUAAUGGAGAGUUACAAUUGUGUGUCUUGGGAGGUGGUAAGGAUACUUAUAAUCUACUUUUCUGGCAAAUUUUUUUAAAAAUGCAGUAGUGCUAGCUAUGGGUACCACACUGUACAUUAGAUCUCUAGAAUGGAUUCACACUUUAGAACUCAGAGUUGGUAGCCUGAUUUUGGGGGUACCAUGCCCAAAGCACAGGCAACAGAAGCAAGAAUAAACAAGUGGGACUACAGCAAGAUAAAAAGCUCCUACACAGCAAAAACAACCAAAAUGAAAAGACAUCCUAGAAAUGGGAGAAAAUAUUAGCAACCACAUAUUUGAUAAGAGGUUAAUGUCAAAAACAUUACUCAGUACCUCAUGAUUUUGUGUGAGACCAAAGCGACUCCAUUUUGCCAAAAUCCACUAUUCCCCUAGUCUCUAUUGUCCUCACAAAUUAAUGGUUAAAAUGUGCAUGCUCUGGGACAAAAGACACAAUCUGUACCGAAGCAAAGUUCCUAAGUUAAUUACUCAACCAUCUGUUUGCCUAGGAAAAAAAACGUUCUGGGGCCCCUAUCCAUAGAACAAUCUGUAGAUGUGCUGACUGUCAGUACAUAAUGGUCAUGACUAAUAGUCAGUGUGUCUGCUGACCAUCAGUAUGUGACAGUCGACCACAAUAACCUUUGUCCCUCUUUUCCCCUGUAAAACCUACAUGUAACUGCCCCUCAAACCCCCGAUGGGCCUAGCCAAUCAGAAAUAUACACUUCAUGCUUGCAAAAUGCCAACCAAUCAUGUAACUGCUAAGUGAAAAAUAUCCAAACCUUGCUGUAACCACAAUAAAAACCCCGCUAAUUUGAAAUUCGGGGCUCUCAAUUCUGAUCCGCUGCGUCGGUGAUGGUUGUGAGCCCCUGCUCGAGCUUGAAUAAACGACCCUCGUGUGUUUGCAUCAGAAUCAGCUCCUUGGUGGUCUUUGGGGACUUCGCGAUCUGGGUACAACAUUUGGGGGCUCGUCCGGGAUCCCCCAAGACCCCAGGAUCCCCGUACCGGAGGGUCGAUGCCGGCCGAGGUAUUCAGCUGAUCCACAAGGACAUUUGGCCCAAAUUGAGAGCCCUGUAUGAGUCUGGACCGCCUCCUGAGCCCCACUGCUCUCAAGGUUGACGGGGUAGCCACCUGGGUGCACUACACGCACGUCCGGCCAGCGGAUCCCUCCGCGGUUUCAGAAGACUUCAUCCCAACAUGGCAGGUGCCCAGAAAUGAGGACAACCCCUUAGAACUCAAGUUCAAUCGUACAUGAUCUGGAUGCUGAUUGCCUCCUGCUGCACACAAGGAAG
rnacentral:lncRNA from 1 species